UACGGAGGGUGCGAGCGUUGUCCGGAAUCACUGGGCGUAAAGGGCGCGUAGGCGGCCUGAUAAGUAGGGGGUGAAAUCCUGCGGCUUAACCGCAGGGCUGCCUUCUAAACUGUCAGGCUGGAGCACAGUAGAGGCAGGUGGAAUUCCCGGUGUAGCGGUGAAAUGCGCAGAUAUCAGGAGGAACACCGAUUGCGAAGGCAGCUCGCUGGGACGUAACUGACGCUGAGACGCGAAAGCGUGGGGAGCAAACAGG
rnacentral:rRNA from 1 species